rnacentral:rRNA from 1 species
AUACGUAGGGGGCGAGCGUUGUCCGGAAUGAUUGGGCGUAAAGGGCGCGUAGGCGGCCCGGUAAGUCUGGAGUGAAAGUCCUGUUUUUAAGAUGGGAAUUGCUUUGGAUACUGUCGGGCUUGAGUGCAGGAGAGGUAAGUGGAAUUCCCAGUGUAGCGGUGAAAUGCGUAGAGAUUGGGAGGAACACCAGUGGCGAAGGCGACUUACUGGACUGUAACUGACGCUGAGGCGCGAAAGUGUGGGGAGCAAACAGGAUUAGAUACCCUGGUAGUCCACACUGUAAACGAUGAAUGCUAGGUGUAGGGGGUAUCGACCCCUUCUGUGCCGCAGUCAACACAAUAAGCAUUCCGCCUGGGGAGUACGGCCGCAAGGUUGGAACUCAAAUGAAUUGGCGGGG